CCUACGGGGUGCUGCAGUGGGGAAUAUUGGACAAUGGGCGAAAGCCUGAUCCAGCCAUGCCGCGUGUGUGAAGAAGGCCUUCGGGUUGUAAAGCACUUUCAGUGGGGAAGAAAGCCUUGGGGCUAAUACCCUCGAGGAAGGACAUCACCCACAGAAGAAGCACCGGCUAACUCCGUGCCAGCAGCCGCGGUAAUACGGAGGGUGCGAGCGUUAAUCGGAAUUACUGGGCGUAAAGCGCGCGUAGGCGGUCUGAUAAGCCGGUUGUGAAAGCCCCGGGCUCAACCUGGGAACGGCAUCCGGAACUGUCAGGCUAGAGUGCAGGAGAGGAAGGUAGAAUUCCCGGUGUAGCGGUGAAAUGCGUAGAGAUCGGGAGGAAUACCAGCGGCGAAGGCGGCCUUCUGGACUGACACUGACGCUGAGGUGCGAAAGCGUGGGUAGCAAACAGGAUUAGAUACCCUGGAAGUC
rnacentral:rRNA from 1 species